rnacentral:rRNA from 1 species
CCUACGGGCGGCUGCAGUAGGGAAUAUUGGGCAAUGGAUGCAAGUCUGACCCAGCCAUGCCGCGUGCCGGAUGAAGGCCCUCAGGGUUGUAAACGGCUUUUAUUCGGGAAGAAGAGUAGAGAUGCGUCUUUAUGUGACGGUACCGAAUGAAUAAGCACCGGCUAACUCCGUGCCAGCAGCCGCGGUAAUACGGAGGGUGCGAGCGUUGUCCGGAUUUAUUGGGUUUAAAGGGUGCGUAGGUGGCUUUAUAAGUCAGUGGUGAAAUACAGCCGCUC